rnacentral:lncRNA from 10 species
AGUGAGCAAUGCAAUUCUGGGAAUGUUCAGGCUCUCUCUGUUCUUUCCUCUCUUGCAAACCAUGGGCACCCUUGGGUCCCUUGGGGUCACUAUGUUACACCUGCUUUUUAUCUGUCUGGGCAAGAGCUGCUCAAGCCACACCUUGUGACACUGAGAUCAGCUAUGAAAAUACCCAGCCGGCCUGCAGCCCUCCCGGCAGAUGCUGAAAAGGAAACCCGACUGGGAGAUGCCGCCCACCCUUAUCCCCAGAGAGCUGCGUUGUUUCCUCUUGCCUUGGCCUUUGGAUCCGGCCAUAGCAAGCAUCCCUGGGCACCUGGCUGAAGCUGGAAACUCGGGAUAAGAAUGGAAGCCCUGGAAGGGAAGAAGAACCGAGGAGAGGACAGCACAUUGCACUCUCACCUCCUUUGCAGUUAAGUGUGAAAUAGUGCCAAUAGAGUGUAAAAGAAAAGAAAGAAGAUGAUUCACCUCCCAAAGAUUCCCCACUGCUGUGUCCCUUCUAUCAACUUGAUACAAAAAAACACAAUGGCCCCGGGAACCACGUGUUGAAGAUGAGAGAGCUAAAAGAUGGAAAGAGACUGGAGCCCUGAGUCACCACCUGGAGGAAAACUACCCACCCAUCAGGAAUUUCUACUACACAUUUGGGAGUUUUUGGGGUUACAGCAGCUAAUUUAACGAAAACACCCAGAGACAAGAGCUAUUACUGCACAAAUUGGUUAAGUUACCUUUUUGUAUGUUUGGGUCCUCUCUAUUCGAUGAGACUGCGCGUUCCUUUGAAGCAAAUCUGUUUAAAAUUCUUAUAUCCCCAGAGGGCCUAGCAGAGAGUAUGCACAGAGUGAGCCUUCAGUAAAUGCUGAGUAAAUAAGCUCCUAAUGGAUGAAACUGUGUCUUCGAAGUUUGUUCUGACCAGUACUUAGUAUAGGAUUUUGUGCUGUUGGUCACUUUUCAUAAAGGUUCUUGCUAUUAAGGAACUUGACAUCCAAUGUACUCAUAGAAAGUAGAAAUUCAGGGGAAACAAAUAGAAGAGAUAUGUCCAAAAAUCCAUUUAAAAUUUCAUUGACAGAUAUUUAUCUCUUUAAUCCUGGAAGUUGUUUCAUGUAAGGGAAGGUUCAGUAGAAUGAAAACAGGACUGUAAGCUGGGAGGAGAUUUGGGGUCUCUUGGCCAACUCUGCCACAAAUUGUGUUACCUUCAACUUCCCUGCCUGUAAAAUGAAGUCAGUGGUCCCUAAAAUGAAAUUGGACUAAUGGCAAAUUAGCUAGCAUUUGAUUAUACAUCGAUAGUUUCCCCAUGUGAUUUUAACGCACAAAUCAGAUUUUGGAACCAUUAGGUAGGUGAUCUUAUCUUAUGAGUUUAUCUUUUUCAACAUGGAAAAAUAAAUUUGUUUUGCUGACCGAAGGCUGUGUAACUUAGAACUGGAAAGAGACAUGUAAUUGAAUAACCCAUCUCUAUGGGGCAAAAAAAUGAAACACCUUUAGUUUGUUCAAAGAUGAAAUGGAAAAAUAAACAUGUUUUAAGAUG